UUUUGCAUUGCGUCCACAACAUUUGAUUUUUAAGGGCAAUAGUAGCCUACAUUUGUGUACAACUCGCAGGAUUUCCAUGCGUGAGCUUUCAACUGCACAGGGCGUUGCAUCAGCACGAGAUUGGAAGUGCGUCAAAUCUGUACAGCAUUGUUACGUCAUCACUGAUAAACGUUGAAACUGAUGAGAAACGGCGGGAGCAGUUCAGUCUGAUUCUCGCUAGUCCUGGAGGAGCGUUCAUUUUGGCAAGGAAAUGUGCUGAUUUUGCAAGGACGUGGAGAAGAAAGAGUUCAAGGAGGCCAAAGGAGAGAGUGAGUUGAAUCAGGUUGAUCUGAAGAUAUCCACAUCAACUCUGACACUGGAGGUCGAAGGAGAGAGUGUGAUGCAGGAGAGUGAUGAUGUAGAAACAGCCGGGCCAUCUCAAUCCCAGGAGACUGAACGAGUGGCAAAGGCUGCAGUGGUGACCUUCACUACCAUGACCCGCAAGGCUGCAGCCUCCCAGACCAGCCUCACCCUCAGCAGGGGAAAGAGAAGCUACCCAGACCUACACACCUUUGUGCAGGACAUGAAGGAUGGGUUAGUUGCUCUUUGGUUCCCCAUGCAUCCCCUAGAUAUGUUCCCUAUUAGAGCCUUGGUCAACAAUAGUUCUGUAUUUAAGGAAUAGGGGCCAUUUGGGACGUACCCAUAGGGACAAUCU